GUGCUUGCUUUGGUAGCACAUAUACUAAAAACUUGGAAUGAUACAGAGAUUAACAUGGACUCUGCACAAGGAUGUCACAAAUUCAUGAAGUGUUCUGUAUUUUU